AAUCAACGCUGGCGGCGUGCCUCAGACAUGCAAGUCGAACGCGAAAUUUCCCUUCGGGGAGAAAGUAGAGUGGCGCACGGGUGAGUAACACGUGGGUAAUUUACCUUCGGGUGGGAAGUAACAGUCGGAAACGACUGCUAAUACCGCAUGAUGCAGCGGCACCACAUGGUGACAGUUGUUAAAGCGGGGGAUCGCAAGACCUCGCGCCUGAAGAGAAGCCCGCGGCAGAUUAGCUAGUUGGUAAGGUAAUGCUUACCAAGGCAACGAUCUGUAGCCGGCCUGAGAGGGCGGUCGGCCACACUGACACUGAAUAACGGGUCAGACUCCUACGGGAGGCAGCAGUCGGGAAUUUUGGGCAAUGGGCGCAAGCCUGACCCAGCAACGCCGCGUGAAGGAUGAAGUAUUUCGGUAUGUAAACUUC
rnacentral:rRNA from 1 species